rnacentral:rRNA from 1 species
AGCUCCAAUAGCGUAUAUUAAAGUUGUUGCAGUUAAAAAGCUCGUAGUUGGAUUUCGGGAUGGCCCGGCCGGUCUGCCGCGAGGUACGUUACUGGCCGAGCUGUUCUUCCUCGCCGAGACCGAGUGUGCUCUUAACUGAGUGUGCUUGGGAUCUGCGACGUUUACUUUGAAAAAAUUAGAGUGUUCAAAGCAAGCCGGCGCCUGAAUACGUAAGCAUGGAAUAAUGGAAUAGGAUUUUGGUUCUAUUUUGUUGGUUUCUGGAACCGAAGUAAUGAUUGAGAGAGACAGUUGGGGGCAUUCGUAUUUCGCUGUCAGAGGUGAAAUUCUUGGAUUUGCGAAAGACGAACUACUGCGAAAGCAUUUGCCAAGAAUGUUUUCA